CACUGAGGUGGAAUACGGGAUUACUUCAUUUGGACUAAUAUGACAUGAAAAAAUACAGUGGACCCCGGACGUCAUCAUCCACAUAAUUAUAAUUGACUUGUAUAUUUUAUUUAUUGAAAACUAUUUAAAUUCACCUUUUACAUUUCGGUUCUUAUUGCAGUUCCUCACCAAGCAACCGAAUAAACGGCUUGGUUGUGGGCCCACCGGCGAGGCGGAUGUGCGUAUACAUCCGUUCUUCCGACGAAUCGAUUGGGAGAAAAUCGAGAAUCGUGAAGUGCAACCGCCUUUUAAGCCGAAAAUUAAACAUCGCAAAGAUGUUUCGAAUUUCGAUAAGCAAUUCACUUCAGAGAAAACGGAUCUGACACCAACGGAUAAAGCAUUUAUGAUGAAUUUGGAUCAAACGGAAUUUGUGGGCUUUUCCUACGUGAAUCCAGACUAUGCAGUGCUCGUUUAAAGGCACUGAAACUCCGCACAUAAACGCACACACACACACACUGCGUUCGGACAGCAAAGUGCGUAGGAAUUGAAAAAGAAAAAUUGAAUCAAAAAAGAAAAGCGUAAGCAGGGAGGAGCGGGACAAAGCGAAGCGAGGAUAUUACAUUGUCUUAACGGAAGCAAGUAAGUGAAGCAGGAAAUCAAGCGUUAGCCAGCUGCAAUAUCGUUUGGUGAGUAAGUGUGUGUAUUAUUGCGGUGCGUUUUUUUCGAGCACACUGAACUUUCCGUGAACAACGUGCCAUUAUAAGAAUUUUAAGCAGAAUUUCCAAAGGGUAAUAAUGAACUCUAUGCUAUGAAAGUCUUACGUAAGGAUGUCAUAAUACAAACAGAUGAUAUGGAUUUGCCUAUGACUGAGAAGCGCGUGUUGUCGCUCUCAGGUUAACCAUCAUUUUUGGUCAUACUACACUCGUGCUUCCAAACUAUGGAUCGCUUGUUUUUCGUUAUGGAGUAUUGCAAGGGUGGUGAUCUUAUGUAUCACAUGCAGAUCUAUGGACGUUCAAUGAAUCUGUAGCUUUCUUAUCGCGAUCUCAAGCUGGAUAAUGUGCUGUUGGUUAGCGAGGGCAACAUAAAACUUGCCGACUACGUUAUGAGUAGGAAGAUAUUGAAGAACGUGAUGCCACCAGAACUUUCUGUUGUACGAAUGCAUACAUGACGCCAGAGGUAGGACCCAAGUAUUUCAUUUCAUACAAAAUAACUGUACAAUUCAUUACAGAUACGUAACUAUAAUAUGAACCUAUAACCCCACCGUCGAUUGGUGUUCUUUCGAUGUUUUGAUUUACGCAAUGUUGGCGGGCCAAAAUCCCUUCGAGGCUCAAGA